UGGGGAAUUUUGCACAAUGGGGGAAACCCUGAUGCAGCGACGCCGCGUGAUUUAGAAGGCCUUCGGGUUGUAAAAAUCUUUUCUAUGGGUAGAAAAUGACAGUACCAUAGGAAUAAGGACCGGCUAAUUACGUGCCAGCAGCCGCGGUAAUACGUAAGGUCCGUGCGUUGUCCGGAAUCAUUUGGCGUAAAGGGUACGUAUGCGGGUAAGCAAGUUAGAAGUGAAAUCCUAUAGCUCAACUAUAGUAAGCUUUUAAAACUGCUUAACUUGAGGUAUGGAAGGGAAAGUGGAAUUCCUAGUGUAGCGGUGAAAUACGAAGAUAUUAGGAGGAAUACCGGUAGCGAAGGCGACUUUAUGGCCAUAACCUGAAGCUGAGGUACGAAAGCGUGGGUAGCAAACAGG
rnacentral:rRNA from 1 species